rnacentral:misc_RNA from 1 species
CCUCUACCGAGCUAAGGGACUCAGUCCUACAACGAAGGUGUUCGCCGAGCUACAUAGGCUAACUCAUCGAAAGGACGAUGAGUACUGGUUCUUUCAAGCAAAAUCGCACUGUGGGCUCUUUACCGAUCUACCCUCCUCACUGAAGAAUUGGAAAAAUCGUUUCUUCAUGUUGAAGAGCAAGAUUCCGAACGAUUUUGAAGGUUUCACCUGAAGCUGGCAAUAUAUGGUCCCGCCACUUUCGAAGCAUGUCGCCUUGAGUAGGGAUAAGGGCGCCAUGGUAAUGGAGCUAAAGGAUCAGGCGGCCACUCAGAAGUUCUCCUGUUUAGAUGCGGUGACUGCCGAGCUGCAUUAUUGGACUAUACAGCUGAUCACCGGCCAAGAUCGCGAGCUUCCGCUCUCUGACCUCGACAUCGGUACUUUCUAUAUCUCAAAUCUCAGGACCUUAGCGAUCUCACUGACCUCUUCUUUGUGCAGGUAUAGCAAGCGGCGAAGCUUCCAAAGAGAGCCGAAAGCAAAAGAGAGGUCUCCCGGAAAGUGCGGGAGAUGAAGCGAUCCGAGCUGCUCCAGACACCCAGGCAUGAAGCUGAGGAAAUGCAAGGGGGCUCAUCUCAACCUUCGGGGCAGCCGAUUCCCGAGGUAGAAGUGAUCCGAUCUCCUCCUCGCCAAGAAGAGCCGCCUCCACCUCCUCCAGUCGCUUCGAGCGCGGAAGGGGGUCCUUCUCAACCUCCUGUAAGGACCCUUUCCCGCGGUGCCCAAAUCUUGAUCCAUUCGCUGGAGAAGAACUGCACGUUUCGAGAGAACCCGGGUUUUGCUAAGGUCUUGGGGUCCUCCAUCUGCCUUCGGGAAGAUCGGGAUAGACUGUCUCCGGAUAAUCUUGAUGACAUCCUGACCAGAUCUAUGAGCCUGAACGUGAGUGCUUGGUGAACCAGCACAUUGUUCGGGAGAAGGCUCACCGCCUGGGUAAGGAGGUCGAGAAAAUGGGUCAUGAAGUGGCUUCCCUCCGAUCCCAACUCUCAUCCGCUCAGAACUACAUAUCUGAAAUUGAGGGGCGGAUGAAAUUCUACGAGGAUAAACUGGCCGAGCAAGCUCAUGUUCUUGAAGAGGUUCGGGCGCUCCGAGCCGCUGAUGUUGCUUGCCUCACUGAGGAACUCAAAGCAAAAGAAGAAGAGGCAGUGACAAGGGAGGCCGGCGCUUAUGUGAACGCCCAUGGGGAUCGCUUGGCCGAGCUCAGGAAGCGUUAUCCCGAGGAGGACUUUUCCUGGAUGGUGGACUUGGCUCCCCAAGACGAAGAAGAUAGCAAGGAGGAGGCUGAAGAUGAUAGAGGGGGUGAACAAAAUGUUCACCCCCAGCCGAAUGACUUGUAUAUAUUUUAAUUUGAAAUGAAAUGAAGUUCCUUUUUUUGUUCAAUGACUGGAUGAGAUCGGAAAGUAUCUAAGUUGCAUAAGCGCCUAAUUGUCUGAACAUAUUAGAAUAACUUGAAAGCAAUUAUUAAUCUAUGUAUGAGAGAUCAGUAAAACAUUAUAAACAUGAGAUCGGCCUAAAACGAUAAUAAACACUGAACGGAACUUUAGAUUAUUAAAAUUGAAAACCUGAUCUGAACACUUUGGAUCGGAAGCAUCAUUAAACCAGAUUAAAGCCUUAACUUGAUUGAACGAUUAUCCAUAAAAUUUUAAAAGGGAAAUCGGAAAUAAAACUGGAUGGGAUGAAGACCUAAUGUUGGUUUGAUUUCGUUUGACGAGAGAUCGGAAAUGUGAUUAACUGGCCAAGAGACCUAAUAAUUGGUUCAAGAGAUCGGUAAGGAUUUGAGCGAUACGGAAACUUGGUAUUGGUUCGGUUUCUUUGGAGAGAGAUCGGAAAUGUGAUCGUCUGGCAAGGAGACUUGGUGUCGGUUUAGAUCCUUAUGAAGAGAGAUCGGAAACGAACGGAGACUUGGUGAUGGGGAUCGAUUUCACAGUUUAUUGAUUUCGGGGAUCGGCCAAAAUAUGGUAUCGACACUUUACAUA